CAGCAGCCGCGGUAAUACGGAGGGUGCGAGCGUUGUCCGGAAUCAUUGGGCGUAAAGGGCGCGUAGGUGGCGGGACAAGCGUGCGGUGAAAGCCCGGGGCUCAACCCCGCGUCGGCCGUGCGAACUGUUUUGCUUGAGCACUGUAGAGGCAGGCGGAAUUCCGGGUGUAGCGGUGGAAUGCGUAGAGAUCCGGAAGAACACCGGUAGCGAAGGCGGCCUGCUGGGCAGUAGCUGACACUGAGGCGCGACAGCGUGGGGAGCAAACAGGAUUAGAUACCCUGGUAGUCCACGCCGUAAACGAUGGGCACUAGGCGCUUGGGGGAGCGACCCCCCGAGGGCCGGCGCUAACGCAUUAAGUGCCCCGCCUGGGGAGUACGGCCGCAAGGCUGAAACUCAAAGGGAUUGACGG
rnacentral:rRNA from 1 species